CCGGCCUUAGCUUAGUUGGUAGAGCAUCAGACUGUAGUGGAGGAAAGUUUCCGACUUUCCGAACGUGUAAUCUGAGGGUCUCCGGUUCGACUCCGGAAGGCCGGA